rnacentral:rRNA from 1 species
AUUGAACGCUGGCGGCAGGCCUAACACAUGCAAGUCGAACGCGUGGCGGGCGGGUGAGAAUUGUCUGGGAAACAGCCCGUUGGAGGGGGAUAACAACUGGAAACGGUAGAGAAUACAGCGCACCACAGGAGGUGCGCAGAUGGGAUUAGCUCGUAGGUGUGGUAACGGCGCACCUAGGCGACGAUCCCUAGCUGGGCUGAGAGGAUGACCAGCCACACUGGAACUGAGACACGGUCCAGACUCCUACGGGAGGCAGCAGUGGGGAAUAUUGCACAAUGGGCGCAAGCCUGAUGCAGCCAUGCCGCGUGUAUGAAGAAGGCCUUCGGGUUGUAAAGUACUUUCAGCGGGGAGGCGUUACCCGCAGAAGAAGCACCGGCUAACUCCGUGCCAGCAGCCGCGGUAAUUC